AGAGUUUGAUCCUGGCUCAGAUUGAACGCUGGCGGCAGGCCUAACACAUGCAAGUCGAGCGGUAGCACAGAGAGCUUGCUCUCGGGUGACGAGCGGCGGACGGGUGAGUAAUGUCUGGGAAACUGCCUGAUGGAGGGGGAUAACUACCGGAAACGGUAGCUAAUACCGCAUAAUGUCGCAAGACCAAAGUGGGGGACCUUCGGGCCUCAUGCCAUCAGAUGUGCCCAGAUGGGAUUAGCUAGUAGGUGGGGUAACGGCUCACCUAGGCGACGAUCCCUAGCUGGUCUGAGAGGAUGACCAGCCACACUGGAACUGAGACACGGUCCAGACUCCUACGGGAGGCAGCAGUGGGGAAUAUUGCACAAUGGGCGCAAGCCUGAUGCAGCCAUGCCGCGUGUGUGAAGAAGGCCUUCGGGUUGUAAAGCACUUUCAGCGGGGAGGAAGGCGGUGAGGUUAAUAACCUCAUCGAUUGACGUUACCCGCAGAAGAAGCACCGGCUAACUCCGUGCCAGCAGCCGCGGUAAUACGGAGGGUGCAAGCGUUAAUCGGAAUUACUGGGCGUAAAGCGCACGCAGGCGGUCUGUCAAGUCGGAUGUGAAAUCCCCGGGCUCAACCUGGGAACUGCAUUCGAAACUGGCAGGCUAGAGUCUUGUAGAGGGGGGUAGAAUUCCAGGUGUAGCGGUGAAAUGCGUAGAGAUCUGGAGGAAUACCGGUGGCGAAGGCGGCCCCCUGGACAAAGACUGACGCUCAGGUGCGAAAGCGUGGGGAGCAAACAGGAUUAGAUACCCUGGUAGUCCACGCCGUAAACGAUGUCGAUUUGGAGGUUGUGCCCUUGAGGCGUGGCUUCCGGAGCUAACGCGUUAAAUCGACCGCCUGGGGAGUACGGCCGCAAGGUUAAAACUCAAAUGAAUUGACGGGGGCCCGCACAAGCGGUGGAGCAUGUGGUUUAAUUCGAUGCAACGCGAAGAACCUUACCUGGUCAUGACAUCCACAGAACUUUCCAGAGAUGGAUUGGUGCCUUCGGGAACUGUGAGACAGGUGCUGCAUGGCUGUCGUCAGCUCGUGUUGUGAAAUGUUGGGUUAAGUCCCGCAACGAGCGCAACCCUUAUCCUUUGUUGCCAGCGGUUAGGCCGGGAACUCAAAGGAGACUGCCAGUGAUAAACUGGAGGAAGGUGGGGAUGACGUCAAGUCAUCAUGGCCCUUACGACCAGGGCUACACACGUGCUACAAUGGCAUAUACAAAGAGAAGCGACCUCGCGAGAGCAAGCGGACCUCAUAAAGUAUGUCGUAGUCCGGACUGGAGUCUGCAACUCGACUCCAUGAAGUCGGAAUCGCUAGUAAUCGUAGAUCAGAAUGCUACGGUGAAUACGUUCCCGGGCCUUGUACACACCGCCCGUCACACCAUGGGAGUGGGUUGCAAAAGAAGUAGGUAGCUUAACCUUCGGGAGGGCGCUUACCACUUUGUGAUUCAUGACUGGGGUGAAGUCGUAACAAGGUAACCGUA
rnacentral:rRNA from 1 species